rnacentral:tRNA from 1 species
GAGGGUGUAGCUCAGUGGUAGAGCACAUGCUUAGCAUGCACGAGGUCCUGGGUUCAAUCCCCCGUACCUCCU